rnacentral:rRNA from 1 species
AACGAACGCUGGCGGCAGGCCUAACACAUGCAAGUCGAACGCUCCAGCAAUGGAGAGUGGCAGACGGGUGAGUAACGCGUGGGAACCUACCCUUUGGUUCGGAAUAGCCCAGGGAAACUUGGGGUAAUACCGGAUAAGCCCUUCGGGGGAAAGAUUUAUCGCCAAUAGAUGGGCCCGCGUCGGAUUAGCUAGUUGGUGGGGUAACGGCCUACCAAGGCGACGAUCCGUAGCUGGUCUGAGAGGAUGAUCAGCCACACUGGGACUGAGACACGGCCCAGACUCCUACGGGAGGCAGCAGUGGGGAAUAUUGGACAAUGGGGGCAACCCUGAUCCAGCCAUGCCGCGUGAGUGACGAAGGUCUUCGGAUUGUAAAGCUCUUUUGGCGGGGAAGAUAAUGACGGUACCCGCAGAAUAAGCCCCGGCUAACUUCGUGCCAGCCGCCGCCGUAACAC